rnacentral:misc_RNA from 1 species
UGCAGGUCCAGUGUGGUUUAGGUCA